GCCCCGCAGCGAUCGAAACCUGGCGUUCUGGCGUUCUUGAUCCGUACAGCAGCAAACUCAUUUGCUAUUUAUUUACACGCGUCAUUAUGUGCCAAAUGUCAGACGUCGGGAUCGUUUGAGGAUCACUUAUCGCAACCUUAUAUUCGAUAUUUCUUAUGUUCGAUUAUAUCGAUAUUUCUGGGAAAUAUGAAUAAAUGAGCAUAUGAGUCGGUUGUCGGACACUGUCCUCAUUAACUUGCGAAGAAAAGACCAACUUAUUUGAUCGGAAUAAUCGUUAAAUAACUAACGAUAAGUGGAGAGUCAAAACAGACUGAUUUUAUCUUAAUUUCAAAAAUAUAGUUCAUUACGGACGAAUCUCUAUUUGGUCUCUUUAAUAAAUUUUCCAGUGAACUGAAAGCAAACAUAUUUGCCAUCGACAAAUUCAAUUAAUUUCCUUUUUUUAAUGAUUUAUUGUCAGUGAUCGGUAGCACUCGUGCUACACACGCAAUUAUAAAAAUUGCAUUUACAGAAUGUGUGCACAUUACGAUGUUGCGAUUAAAUUCAUGGAAUAAAAGCGAAGGUAUUUCUUGUCUAGACUCUGCAGUUGGAAAAUAUUGCACUAAUCAGUUCUAAAAAUAAUCUGCGAAGCCGUCGUGUUAGACAAACAGAUAUUUGCUGUCUCUUCCAUAAAUGCAAAUGAUUCAUCAAUGAAAAAGCAAUUCGCUCUUAGGCUAUAAUCAUAAGUCUUAAUUUUUCUUCUGUCAAUCGCAGACCCUAUCUCAAUAAUAUCAUACGUUAAUCAUACGUAAUGCAACAUAUAUUUUCAGACGGUGUGAAUAAUUUUUUUACUCUCUCACAUUAAGAAGAUGAUAUAGAAAACGAUGUAAAAAAUAUAUAUUAGAUAUAGAGAUUUUUUAUUUCGAGUUCUAUCGAGUCUCUAAUGUUAUUAUUUUGCAUUUUUAUCGUUAUACAACGAAAAGAUACAAAGGCAAGUAUGCAACGGGUACUUUGUACAAAUACAAAUUUUUCAGUAUACAAUUAAACAAUGUUAUAAUCAAAGACUUUUCUCUUACGCGUAUAUCGGGUCUGCGAUUAGGCGCGCUAAUUACAGCGACAUCCGUGUAUUAUCUAACGCGAUUCGAAGGAUUUAUUUACAGUGUGAUUCAGUGUAAAUCUAUGGAAGAUGCGUACGAGAGAAAGAAGGACGUCAACAAUUACAAUAUCCGCUUAUUUUCAAUUCCCUAUCAGUCUCACAUAUACGCAUUCUUAAUGAAUUUUACAUUUCCUCUCGCACGCAUCGUUCCAAUUUGCAUAGUUCGUAGCUUAUUACAAAACGAUAUAGUUAUAUACCCAUCGUUACAUAUUGCGAAACUUUCGUCAUGUGAUGUUUCAUUAUAAAUCGAUUAGAUACUCCGGAGUAUAACUAAUCUCGUCCGGCGACAUGUGUGCGUCGAACUUUAUUAAAAAAUACAAAUCCGUUUAGUAUCAUUGCGUAGAUUUCAUGCGGUGGAAACGUUCACCUAACACACAUUAGUCACAAGACCAAAUUAUAUCCGUUAUCGUCAUUUAUUAUAUCAUCAUCGCAACCUAUUAUUAUCCUAUUAUAUGGCGCGUAAAUCACUUUCUCUUGUCAUAAUCUCUUCGUCGGUGUUUUCCCAUACUAAUCAUCUGCAUCUUUAAAUAUAUGAUUAAUGUCUAAUAUAGAAAAAGGAUUUGUAGGAAAAUGAUGGUCCGAAGUUAGCACCGGAUUUUCUGGUUUCUCGUACAGCGGAUUAGUCGGAUCAGAUAGAGACUCUCGUUUUCAAUUGCUACGCAAAAAAAAUUAAAUAUAAUAAAUAAGUUGUGCAUUUAUUAAUC